AAAGAACGCUGGCGGCAGGCUUAACACAUACCAGUCGAGCGCUCCGCACGGAGAGAGGCCGACGGGAGCGUAACGCGCGGAAAUCUACCCAUCUCUACGGAAUAACGCAUGGAAACGUGUGCUAAUACUGUAUGUGUCCUUCGGGAGAAAGAGUUACCGGAGAUAGAUGAGCCCGCGUUGGAUUAGCUAGUUGGUGGGGUAAAGGCCGACCAAGGCGACGGUCCAUAGCUGGUCUGAGAGGAUAAUUUGCCACACUUGGACUGAGACACGGCCCAGAGUCCUACGGGAGGUAGCAGGGGGGAAUAUUGGACAAAGGGCGCAAGCCUGAUCCAGCCAUGCCGCGUGAGUGAUGAAGGCCCUAGGGUUGUAAAGCUCUUUCACCGGUGAAGAUAAUGACGGUAACCGGAGAAGAAGCCCCGGCUAACUUCGUGCCAGCCGCCGCGGUAAAAC
rnacentral:rRNA from 1 species